GCAUGGCUAGCUCAGUCGGUAGAGCAUGAGACUCUUAAUCUCAGGGUUGUGGGUUCAAGCCCCACGUUGGGCG
rnacentral:tRNA from 2 species